rnacentral:rRNA from 1 species
GAUGAACGCUGGCGGCGUGCUUAACACAUGCAAGUCGAACGAUGAAGCCCAGCUUUCUGGGUGGAUUAGUGGCGAACGGGUGAGUAACACGUGAGUAACCUGCCCUUAUCUCUGGGAUAAGCCUGGGCAACUGGGUCUAAUACCGGAUAGGAGCGCCUACCGCAUGGUGGGUGUUGGAAAGAUUUAUCGGUUUUGGCUGGACUCGCGGGCUAUCCGCUUGUUGGUGAGGUAAUGGCUCACCAAGGCGACGACGGGUAGCCGGCCUGAGAGGGUGGACGGCCACAAUGGGACUGAGACACGGCGCAGACUCCUACGGGAGGCAGCAGUGGGGAAUAUUGCACAAUGGGCGAAAGCCUGAUGCAGCGACGCCGCGUGAGGGAUGACGGCCUUCGGGUUGUAAACCUCUUUCAGUAGGGAAGAAGCGAAAGUGACGGUACCUGCAGAAGAAGCACCGGCUAACUACGUG